AGCUUGCUUAGUAGCGGCGAGUGAAGCGGCAAAAGCUCAAAUUUGAAAUCUGGCACCUUCGGUGUCCGAGUUGUAAUUUGAAGAUUGUAACCUUGGGGUUGGCUCUUGUCUAUGUUUCUUGGAACAGGACGUCACAGAGGGUGAGAAUCCCGUGCGAUGAGAUGCCCAAUCCUAUGUAAGGUGCUUUCGAAGAGUCGAGUUGUUUGGGAAUGCAGCUCUAAGUGGGUGGUAAAUUCCAUCUAAAGCUAAAUAUUGGCGAGAGACCGAUAGCGAACAAGUACAGUGAUGGAAAGAUGAAAAGAACUUUGAAAAGAGAGUGAAAAAGUACGUGAAAUUGUUGAAAGGGAAGGGUUUGAGAUCAGACUCGAUAUUUUGUGAGCCUUGCCUUCGUGGCGGGGUGACCCGCAGCUUAUCGGGCCAGCAUCGGUUUGGGCGGUAGGAUAAUGGCGUAGGAAUGUGACUUUGCUUCGGUGAAGUGUUAUAGCCUGCGUUGAUGCUGCCUGCCUAGACCGAGGACUGCGAUUUUAUCAAGGAUGCUGGCAUAAUGA
rnacentral:rRNA from 1 species